GACGAACGCUGGCGGCGUGCUUAACACAUGCAAGUCGAGCGGUAAGGCCCUUUCGGGGGUACACGAGCGGCGAACGGGUGAGUAACACGUGGGUGACCUGCCCUCAGCUCUGGGAUAAGCCUGGGAAACUGGGUCUAAUACCGGAUAUGACCCCAUGACGCAUGUUGUGGGGUGGAAAGCCUUGUGCGGCUGAGGAUGGGCCCGCGGCCUAUCAGCUUGUUGGUGGGGUGAUGGCCUACCAAGGCGACGACGGGUAGCCGGCCUGAGAGGGCGACCGGCCACACUGGGACUGAGACACGGCCCAGACUCCUACGGGAGGCAGCAGUGGGGAAUCUUGCGCAAUGGGCGAAAGCCUGACGCAGCGACGCCGCGUGAGGGAUGACGGCCU
rnacentral:rRNA from 1 species